rnacentral:snoRNA from 1 species
CUGCCUCUCAGCAGAGGCCAGGCAGGGGGGACAGUGUAUGCAAGAGUAAUUUGGAGUUUGUGCUAGUUCUAGCCAGCCUAUUCGGUGGCUGGAUAAGUUGCAUUACUUCAACAUUU